rnacentral:rRNA from 1 species
UACGGAGGGUGCAAGCGUUGUCCGGAAUUACUGGGUGUAAAGGGCGUGUAGGCGGGACUGCAAGUCAGAUGUGAAAUUCCCAGGCUCAACCUGGGGGCUGCAUCUGAAACUGUGGUUCUUGAGUGCUGGAGAGGAAAGCGGAAUUCCUAGUGUAGCGGUGAAAUGCGUAGAUAUUAGGAGGAACACCAGUGGCGAAGGCGGCUUUCUGGACAGUAACUGACGCUGAGGCGCGAAAGCGUGGGGAGCUAACAGG